rnacentral:rRNA from 1 species
GACGAACGCUGGCGGCGUGCCUAAUACACGCAAGUAGAACGCACAGUUUAUACCGUAGCUUGCUACACCAUACACUGUGAGUUGCGAACGGGUGAGUAACGCGUAGGUAACCUGCCUGGUAGCGGGGGAUAACUAUUGGAAACGAUAGCUAAUACCGCAUAAUAUUGAUUAUUGCAUGAUAAUUGAUUGAAAGAUGCUAUUGCAUCACUACCAGAUGGACCUGCGUUGUAUUAGCUAGUAGGUGAGGUAACGGCUCACCUAGGCGACGAUACAUAGCCGACCUGAGAGGGUGAUAGGCCACACUGGGACUGAGACACGGCCCAGACUCCUACGGGAGGCAGCAGUAGGGAAUCGUCGGCAAUGGACGAAAGUCUGACCGAGCAACGCCGCGUGAGUGAAGAAGGUUUUCGGAUCGUAAAGCUCGGUUGUAAGAGAAGAACGGGUGUGAGAGUGGAAAGUUCACACUGUGACGGUAUCUUACCAGAAAGGGACGGCUAACUACGUG